CACCAUGAGUGCUUUGAGACUGUGGGAAGAAACCAGCGCAGAUGCAGGCAGACUGGCUGGCAGAUGUGCUCCAAAGUUAAACUCAACAACAAACAAAUGCAAGCUACAAAGGAAAGAAAAAAAUAAGGGUUCCAUUGUGAAGUCACGAGGAAAAGCUGGAAUUGUGGCAGAAGAAUCGCUGUUGGGGUAGCAGAGGACAGGUGAAGCAGUUUGACACUGUUUCAAUAGGAUAAUGUGAAUACUGUGACACGGCCGUGUAGAUCUAUGGGACAGAAAUGAGGAAACGGCUUGUUUCACGACUUUGAUGCUCCAGCUUGGAACAUAUGUGGAAAAACUGACAGAGUCAGCUGACUCAUCCUUCGCUAUAUUCUAAACAAGCGGGCAAGUGCAUGUGAGGUGUACUUCCUGAGGACAGCACAGGCCGGAUCUGCCGUGCUGUGGGAGGAUUGCUCUGGCAUGGUUUGGAUCCAGCUUUGGGAUCAGACCACCUGGGCCUUCACCCUCAAACCUUCAGUCCACAGGUGUAGCGUCUCGGGAAAGUUGCAGAGACUCGAAGCUCUAAAAAUGUUACCAGGAAACAUUUUCUAUGUAAAACAAAAAUAAAACAAAUCAAAUAUACCAAGUAA